rnacentral:rRNA from 1 species
GGGCAAUCUGCCCUUCACUCUGGGACAAGCCCUGGAAACGGGGUCUAAUACCGGAUAACACUCCUGCCUGCAUGGGUGGGGGUUGAAAGCUCCGGCGGUGAAGGAUGAGCCCGCGGCCUAUCAGCUUGUUGGUGGGGUAAUGGCCUACCAAGGCGACGACGGGUAGCCGGCCUGAGAGGGCGACCGGCCACACUGGGACUGAGACACGGCCCAGACUCCUACGGGAGGCAGCAGUGGGGAAUAUUGCACAAUGGGCGAAAGCCUGAUGCAGCGACGCCGCGUGAGGGAUGACGGCCUUCGGGUUGUAAACCUCUUUCAGCAGGGAAGAAGCGCAAGUGACGGUACCUGCAGAAGAAGCGCCGGCUAACUACGUGCCAGCAGCCGCGGUAAUACGUAGGGCGCAAGCGUUGUCCGGAAUUAUUGGGCGUAAAGAGCUCGUAGGCGGCUUGUCACGUCGGAUGUGAAAGCCCGGGGCUUAACCCCGGGUCUGCAUUCGAUACGGGCUAGCUAGAGUGUGGUAGGGGAGAUCGGAAUUCCUGGUGUAGCGGUGAAAUGCGCAGAUAUCAGGAGGAACACCGGUGGCGAAGGCGGAUCUCUGGGCCAUUACUGACGCUGAGGAGCGAAAGCGUGGGGAGCGAACAGGAUUAGAUACCCUGGUAGUCCACGCCGUAAACGUUGGGAACUAGGUGUUGGCGACAUU